rnacentral:rRNA from 1 species
UGGGGAAUAUUGCACAAUGGGCGCAAGCCUGAUGCAGCCAUGCCGCGUGUGUGAAGAAGGCCUUCGGGUUGUAAAGCACUUUCAGCGGGGAGGUAGGCGAUAAGGUUAAUAACCUCAUCGAAUGACGUUACCCGCAGAAGAAGCACCGGCUAACUCCGUGCCAGCCGCCGCGGGAAGACGGGGGGUGCAAGCGUUAAUCGGAAUUACUGGGCGUAAAGCGCACGCAGGCCGUCUGUCAAGUCAGAUGUGAAAUCCCCGGGCUCAACCUGGGAAGCGAAUCUGAUACUGGUAAUCUUGAGUCUCGUAGAGGGGGGUAGAAUUCCAGGUGGAGCGGUGAAAUGCGUAGAGAACUGGAGGAAUACCGGUGGCGAAGGCGGCCACCUGGACGAAGACUGACGCUCAGGUGCGAAAGCGUGAGGAGCAAACAGG